rnacentral:rRNA from 1 species
CGUGAGAUGUUGGGUUAAGUCCCGCAACGAGCGCAACCCUUGUCCUUAGUUGCCAGCACGUAAUGGUGGGAACUCUAAGGAGACCGCCGGUGACAAACCGGAGGAAGGUGGGGAUGACGUCAAGUCAUCAUGGCCCUUACGGCCAGGGCUACACACGUACUACAAUGGUGGGGACAGAGGGCUGCAAGCCGGCGACGGUGAGCCAAUCCCAGAAACCCUAUCUCAGUCCGGAUUGGAGUCUGCAACUCGACUCCAG